GUGUUGUAUAAAAAGAGAAAAGGUUAGCAUUUCGCUUGAUAAGGAUGGAAAAGGUCCUAGUGGCCUUUACAACACAUAUACAGUUAUGGCUUUGCUGACUACUCUAGGCCAAGAAUAGGGUCUGUUU